GGCGUCGCAGACUCGCAGUUUCAUCUGGACGUGUCGUUUGGACGUGUUGACGGAUUUAAAGCCGCAAGUGGCAGCCGGAGGAACUACGGCUAGAAGAUUACGUGACUUCGCUCGGCUCUAAGCUGCAGCCUAACGCCCGCUAAUGUCAGCAGAGAGAGGGAGAGGAAGUGUCCUCCGAGACAGCACACGGGAACCCACACGGCACUCCGAAGGACGUCACUAGGAGGGGGACCAGGUGUGACCCUGAAGACUGGGAGUGCCACCCUGACCAGGCUGAAGCUGACAUGAUUAGCA